ACAAAGUCGAGUUUGAGAAGCUCACAAGUUCUUUGCUUUUAGACUUUUCACUUCGAUAUAGUUCUACUUUAUUUUUACAUUAACGAUUUAUAAAUAUUUAAUCAGCUAAAUUAGGUUUUAGAAUUUGAUUGCAAUAAUUUUAAAAGUUGGAGCCAGAAAUUAUAACAAAUUUAAAUUUGAGAACCAAAAUAUCAUAUGCUUGAUAGUUUGCAGACCAAACGUGCAAUUUAUCUUUUCCGAAAUAAGAUGUUUA
rnacentral:lncRNA from 1 species